rnacentral:rRNA from 1 species
AUACGUAGGGGGCAAGCGUUAUCCGGAUUUACUGGGUGUAAAGGGAGCGUAGACGGUAAAGCAAGUCUGAAGUGAAAGCUCGGGGCUCAACCCCGGAACUGCUUUGGAAACUGUUUUACUGGAGUGCAGGAGAGGUAAGCGGAAUUCCUAGUGUAGCGGUGAAAUGCGUAGAUAUUAGGAGGAACACCAGAGGCGAAGGCGGCUUACUGGACUGUAACUGACGUUGAGGCUCGAAGGCGUGGGGAGCAAACAGGAUUAGAUACCCUGGUAGUCCACGCGGUAAACGAUGAUCACUAGGUGUCCGUGGGUAUGACCCAUGGGUGCCGCAGCCAACGCAAUAAGUGAUCCACCUGGGGAGUACGUCCGCAAGAAUGAAACUCAAAUGAAUUGGCGGGG